AAGUCGUAACAAGGUUUCCGUAGGUGAACCUGCGGAAGGAUCAUUAACACGUAUCCAACGUUAAACCACCCGUGCACCUUCAUCUUACCAGCACCGAAACGAGUCUUUGCGGCAUGUUAAGUCGUGACCCACCGGGAUCUAGGGAGUUGGACUACCCAGGGAGAACCUCGCGAAAUGGUGUGGCACUCUGCAAUAUGGGGGGACUACACCUGGUUGCGAUGUAAACGUGGUCUCCGGGGCGUCUUGUUUAGUACCUUUUGUCCUCGACACGUACAGCUUGCCGCGAAGAAUUGGGUCGCUUGCGAAUUUACCAUACCCACCGCAGGAAAACUAUGUCUUCCAAUGCAAAACUAACCGCUCGGGGGUUCUCCGGGGCUUCCAGAGCUGGUAACCCGAACAACUGUUAACAAUGGAUAUCUUGGCUCUC
rnacentral:misc_RNA from 1 species